GGAGAAUGGGUCAUUGUGGAUAAACCAUCCCCCACAUUUGGUGUCAGAAGUGUUGGGAAGGAAGAAGCAGUGAGCGUUUUGUCUUCCAAGGAGCUGCAGUGGGAGAGGUACUUCGUGGAAAGAACAGAGAAGAUUAAAGGGGGUUUUCAGAUGUGUAGUCAGUGAUGUGGCUCCUCCACUUCCCCCAAAAUCUAAAGAAUCACCCAUCAAUUCGUUUAGAGUUGGAUUUGGCUGGGAAGGUUGUACAGAGGUGCUGACUCGUGUUCAAGUGAAAUCUCAGCUGAUCCCCACCAUGACCUCCACGGGGAUGGGCAGGAGGUAUUAUCUCCUUACUUGAGAGCAGACGAAAGAUUGAACCGAAGGGACUUGUCCAAGGUCACCCAGCAGGGUUGCUGGAACUCAAGUGCCACCAGCUGGCCCCGUGAGAAUAAAGACCACACCCCAGGAUGGCAGAUGAGUGAGUUGUCAGAAGCGUGGAUCUCCAAAACCUGUGUGGAACAGGGCUGCCUUCCCAGCUUUGAAUUGCAGACCUCUGGACCUACAGCCGGUGGAGAAAUAAACGUCUAUUGUGCAG
rnacentral:lncRNA from 1 species